AUUGAACGCUGGCGGCAGGCCUAACACAUGCAAGUCGAGCGGAUGAAGGGAGCUUGCUCCUGGAUUCAGCGGCGGACGGGUGAGUAAUGCCUAGGAAUCUGCCUGGUAGUGGGGGAUAACGUCCGGAAACGGGCGCUAAUACCGCAUACGUCCUGAGGGAGAAAGUGGGGGAUCUUCGGACCUCACGCUAUCAGAUGAUCCUAGGUCGGAUUAGCUAGUUGGUGGGGUAAAGGCCUACCAAGGCGACGAUCCGUAACUGGUCUGAGAGGAUGAUCAGUCACACUGGAACUGAGACACGGUCCAGACUCCUACGGGAGGCAGCCGUGGGGAAUAUUGGACAAUGGGCGAAAGCCAGAUCCAGCCAUGCCGCGUGUGUGAAGAAGGUCUUCGGAUUGUAAAGCACUUUAAGUUGGGAGGAAGGGCAGUAAGUUAAUACCUUGCUGUUUUGACGUUACCAACAGAAUAAGCACCGGCUAACUUCGUG
rnacentral:rRNA from 1 species